rnacentral:misc_RNA from 1 species
GAUGAAGAACGUAGCGAAAUGCGAUAAGUAAUGUGAAUUGCAGAAUUCAGUGAAUCAUCGAAUCUUUGAACGCACCUUGCGCUCCUUGGUAUUCCGAGGAGCAUGCCUGUUUGAGUGUCAUGAAAUUCUCAACCUUUUCAGCUUUCUUUGUUGAUCAGGCUUGGAUGUGGGAGUAUGCGGGCUUCUCAGAAGUCGGCUCUCCUGAAAUGCAUUAGCGGGACCUUUGUUGCCUGGCUUUGGUGUGAUAAUUAUCUACGCCAUUGUAGUCAAGCAGCUAAAAAUGAGGUUUCAGCUUCUAACCGUCUCCCCUGAGACAACUUUUUGACAAUUUGACCUCAAAUCAGGUAGGACUACCCGCUGAACUUAAGCAUAUCAUAAGCGGAGGA